rnacentral:tRNA from 1 species
GGAGGGGUGUCAGAGUGGUUUAAUGAGCUCGCUUGGAAAGCGUGUGUACCCUAAACCGGUACCGGGGGUUCGAAUCCCCCCCCCUCCGCCA